rnacentral:rRNA from 1 species
UACGGAGGGUGCAAGCGUUAUCCGGAUUCAUUGGGCGUAAAGGGUGCGUAGGCGGCGCGGUAAGUCGGGUGUGAAAUCUCGGAGCUUAACUCCGAAACUGCAUUCGAUACUGCCGUGCUAGAGGGUGGGAGAGGUAAGCGGAAUUCCUGGUGUAGCGGUGAAAUGCGUAGAUAUCAGGAGGAACACCUGUGGUGUAGACAGCUUACUGGACCACUUCUGACGCUGAGACACGAAAGCGUGGGUAGCAAACAGG